UACGUAGGGGGCAAGCGUUGUCCGGAAUGAUUGGGCGUAAAGCGUCCGCAGGUGGCUAUGUAAGUCUGCUGUUAAAGAGUCUAGCUCAACUAGAUAAGAGCAGUGGAAACUACAAGGCUAGAGUACGUUCGGGGCAGAGGGAAUUCCUGGUGUAGCGGUGAAAUGCGUAGAUAUCUGGAAGAACACCAAUGGCGAAAGCAGCUCUCUGGGACGGUGCUGACGCUGAGACGCGAAAGCGUGGGGAGCAAACAGG
rnacentral:rRNA from 1 species